rnacentral:lncRNA from 1 species
GGGCACCCGGCAAAGGCUCUAAAAUUAUUUUUUUUUUAUUUUUUGAUUCUAUAAUCACAAACACAACAUAUAAUAGAUAUAUAUCACAUCUCUGAUAUCACAAACACAAUAUAGCACAUAUAUAUCGCAUCCAUCUCAUCACAAACUCAAAUCCACAUAUAUAUCACAUCACAAGCACACAAUAUCUCACAUACACGACGACAUAAACAUAAUAGGUUCAAUAUUCAUCUUCACAGCUUACACAAGGUGUUUGGCACACAUGGAUUAACGCAAUGAUGACGCAAACUGGAAUUCAUAACUAAAUAAAGCUACUAAAAAAUUAAUAAAUAAAUCUCCCUAGUUAAGACAAGGUGUAUGGCACACAUAAGAAACAAGAUUAUACAGGGAAUGGAGGACUGGAGACAAUGAUGGUAGAAACUGAAAUCUAAACAAAACAUUCCAUAAGGCAUGAAGUCACUUAUUACCACACGUGGAAGAUUCUGAAGCGUGAAAUGCUCACAAGAAGUUUAUCCUUUCAUGAUCCAGACCUAUAAACAACAGCAAAUAUAAGAAAUCUGCUGGUAGAACACGCCAGCAAAGACCAUAUCGCAC